rnacentral:lncRNA from 1 species
AUUUUUUUUUGCAAUAUUCGACUAUCGAAUAUAAGCGUAGAUGAUAAUAUAAAGGUUUCGUCUGAUCCCAAAUUCAUGUAUUUGGUUUUGAUGUUAUGUUUGUUAUUCUCGUGGGAUUUUGUCUGAUGCUUGGUCCGUUUCUGUGUGUGUUAGUAACAGUGUAGUGUUGUGUCGUUGUUCUCCUCUUAUAUUUAUGCGUUUCCCUCAGUUUUAGUUUGUUACCCCGAUUUUGUUUUUUGUCCAUGGAUUUAUGAGUUUGAACAGCGGUAUACUACUGUUGCCUUUGUUUGCAUGACUGUAACACUAUUGUGUAUAUUUUUGUGAAGGGUUUACAUACAUGUUUUCUUGACAUACGUCCUUUAUAACAAUGUGCCAAAUUUUACAGAAAUGCCCUUAAAAAGC